GGGGCCGUAGUAGUAAAGGAACAUUCCGGGCUUUCAAUCCGGCGUUGCGGGAGCAAAACCCGUCGGCUCCA
rnacentral:tRNA from 1 species